rnacentral:lncRNA from 1 species
GCAGAGAGGGAGCGCGCCUUGGCUCGCUGGCCUUGGCGGCGGCUCCUCAGGAGAGCUGGGGCGCCCACGAGAGGAUCCCUCACCCGGGUCUCUCCUCAGGGAUGACAUCAUCCGUCCACCUCCUUGUCUUCAAGGACCACCUCCUCUCCAUGCUGAGCUGCUGCCAAGGGGCCUGCUGCCCAUCUACACCUCACGAGGGCACUAGGAGCACGGUUUCCUGGAUCCCACCAACAUACAAAGCAGCCACUCACUGACCCCCAGGACCAGGAUGGCAAAGGAUGAAGAGGACCGGAACUGACCAGCCAGCUGUCCCUCUUACCUAAAGACUUAAACCAAUGCCCUAGUGAGGGGGCAUUGGGCAUUAAGCCCUGACCUUUGCUAUGCUCAUACUUUGACUCUAUGAGUACUUUCCUAUAAGUCUUUGCUUGUGUUCACCUGCUAGCAAACUGGAGUGUUUCCCUCCCCAAGGGGGUGUCAGUCUUUGUCGACUGACUCUGUCAUCACCCUUAUGAUGUCCUGAAUGGAAGGAUCCCUUUGGGAAAUUCUCAGGAGGGGGACCUGGGCCAAGGGCUUGGCCAGCAUCCUGCUGGCAACUCCAAGGCCCUGGGUGGGCUUCUGGAAUGAGCAUGCUACUGAAUCACCAAAGGCACGCCCGACCUCUCUGAAGAUCUUCCUAUCCUUUUCUGGGGGAAUGGGGUCGAUGAGAGCAACCUCCUAGGGUUGUUGUGAGAAUUAAAUGAGAUAAAAGAGGCCUCAGGCAGGAUCUGGCAUAGAGGAGGUGAUCAGCAAAUGUUUGUUGAAAAGGUUUGACAGGUCAGUCCCUUCCCACCCCUCUUGCUUGUCUUACUUGUCUUAUUUAUUCUCCAACAGCACUCCAGGCAGCCCUUGUCCACGGGCUCUCCUUGCAUCAGCCAAGCUUCUUGAAAGGCCUGUCUACACUUGCUGUCUUCCUUCCUCACCUCCAAUUUCCUCUUCAACCCACUGCUUCCUGACUCGCUCUACUCCGUGGAAGCACGCUCACAAAGGUUCCCAGUGCCCCCGACAAGCCCCUGCUGGUGUCUCCAUCUCCUGCCAAGCAUCCUCCAGUGCCUCCUCCUGUGGGCCUGGCCUCAGGGCUAUGGACAGACUCCUGUCCCAUCCCAGAGACCCCUCGUGAUCGUGCCCUGGCACGUGGGCCGUGGCCCGGCUGGGUCGGCUGAAGAACUGCGGAUGGAAGCUGCGGAAGAGGCCCUGAUGGGGCCCACCAUCCCGGACCCAAGUCUUCUUCCUGGCGGGCCUCUCGUCUCCUUCCUGGUUUGGGCGGAAGCCAUCACCUGGAUGCCUACGUGGGAAGGGACCUCGAAUGUGGGACCCCAGCCCCUCUCCAGCUCGAAAUCCCUCCACAGCCACGGGGACACCCUGCACCUAUUCCCACGGGACAGGCUGGACCCAGAGACUCUGGACCCGGGGCCUCCCCUUGAGUAGAGACCCGCCCUCUGACUGAUGGACGCCGCUGACCUGGGGUCAGACCCGUGGGCUGGACCCCUGCCCACCCCGCAGGAACCCUGAGGCCUAGGGGAGCUGUUGAGCCUUCAGUGUCUGCAUGUGGGAAGUGGGCUCCUUCACCUACCUCACAGGGCUGUUGUGAGGGGCGCUGUGAUGCGGUUCCAAAGCACAGGGCUUGGCGCACCCCACUGUGCUCUCAAUAAAUGUGUUUCCUGUCUUAACAAAAAAAAAAAAAAAAAAAAAAAA